rnacentral:rRNA from 1 species
GACGAACGCUGGCGGCGUGCUUAACACAUGCGAGUCGAACGGAAAGGCCCCUUUGGGGGUACUCGAGUGGCGAACGGGUGAGUAACACGUGAGUAACCUGCCCUUGACUUCGGGAUAACUUCAGGAAACUGGGGCUAAUACCGGAUAGGAAUCCUUGCUGCAUGGUGGGGGUUGGAAAGCUUCGGCGGUUUUGGAUGGACUCGCGGCUUAUCAGCUUGUUGGUGGGGUAGUGGCUUACCAAGGCUUUGACGGGUAGCCGGCCUGAGAGGGAGACCGGCCACAUUGGGACUGAGACACGGCCCAGACGCCUACGGGAGGCAGAAGUGGGGAAUAUUGCACAAUGGGCGGAAGCCUGAUGCAGCAACGCCGCGGGCGGGAUGACGGCCUUCGGGUUGUAAACCGCUUUCAGCAGGGGCGAAGCUUGUGGUGACGGUACCUGCAGAAGAAGCACCGGCUAACUACGUG